UUUCUGCUCAAUGAUAAUUUUAUUAAAUAGCUUGCAGUAUUUUGACUGUACAAAGGUAGCAUAAUAAUUUGUUUAUUAAUUGUAAACUGGAAUGAAUGAAUUUAUAAAUAUAGACUUUAUUAAAAUAAUUUAAUUUAAUUUAUUAUUUAAGUUAAAAAACUUAAAUAUUAUUAUGGGACGAGAAGACCCUAUAGAAUUUUAUAUUUUGAAUUAAUUAAUAUAGAUAUAAAUUAUUUUUAUUUAAUUAAUUAAAAUAUUUAAUUGGGAGGAUUGUUAAAUUUAAAAAACUUUAAUUUUAAAAACCAAUGAUUAUUGAUUAAAUUUUAAAGAUUAUUUAUUAAAUUUUUAAAGAUAAAUUACCUUAGGGAUAACAGAGUAAUAUUUUUGGAAAGAUCAAAUUUAUAAAAAUGUUUACUACCUCGAUGUUGAAUUAAGAUUUAAAUUAUUAGAAGAAUAAUAAAUUUUUAGUCUGUUCGACUAUUAAAAUCUUACAUGAUUUGAGUUCAAAUC
rnacentral:rRNA from 1 species